UAAAGGAUAUAAGUGCAGAACUCCCAAGAUUUACUUCCUUCCUGAUCUGUCCAGCCAGGAUACCUGAGUUGCUCAUCAGAUGAGUCUUGCUUACUGUGCUCCAGAAAGGUGACAACAU
rnacentral:lncRNA from 1 species